rnacentral:rRNA from 1 species
AUGCAGGAGGCCUCGUCGUCUUCUCUCCCGGCGCUGAGCAGCGCCUACCAGCCUCUCCCGUCGCUCUACCUCGGCUUCUUGGCGAUAUGGGCGGCGUCGGGGAUCUCCUGGGCCUUCAGCUCAUGGAGGAAUCGGCACUUCCAGGCGAAUAACCUUCAAUGGAUCCUGGCCUUGGUUCCCCUGAUCAAAGCUUUGCAAAUGGCACUCUCGUUUCUGUUCAGGUACUCGUGCGUACACCUUCACACAUGCUCGCUGUGGAUGUCGUUCGGCGUGUACGUGACGGGGAUCCUCUUCCAGACGGCCUCCUUCGUCUCCUUCAUGCUCAUCUCCCACGGUUACUGCAUCAUGUACGAGCGCCUCUCCAUCAGGGAGAGACGCACGACUGCGGGGCUCGGAUGCCUCCUCUACCUUAGCCUCAUAGGCUAUAAAGCCGCAGUCCCUUAUUUCACCGGUUUUCUUCUGAUGAACUACUUCGCGUCAUUCUACAUCAUAUUCCGCCGCACGUCGCAGUGCCUGCUGGUUCUGCGUGAGCAGCUUAAUUUCGUGGAGGAGGAAGACAUCCAUUCACUGCAUGGGACACUCAACACCAAGUACACAAUGUUCAAGAGAUUUCAGGGUACAAUGCAGGUGGCAGCAGUGGCAUUCAUCAUGGUGUACAUGAGGGCUGAUGAUACGCCGGAUAACUACUGGUUCCGCGUGUUGGUACGCGAAUGGGUGCAGUUCUGCAUCUUCAUGUACAUUGGGUGGAACUUCAGGAUCCCUGAAGCAUCACUCCACCUGCCGGUCAUGCCCCUGAUGAAGUCAAACUGGGAGAUUACCAUGCCACCCAUUUACAGCGUGGAAAUGGACGCAGCCGAUUUCAGAGGACUCGUCUCGGACCAAUGGCAUGUUGGAGUGAGGACUUCUCAUGCCGACGCAUGCUACUCUUCACAGCCGUUGCUGGUGCUAGUUCAGAAUCCUAGCCCGAAGGUCUCCCGUGCCGCCGUAGCUUCAGGUUUCAGUUGA